GCGAGCGGCGGACGGGUGAGUAAUGUCUGGGAAACUGCCUGAUGGAGGGGGAUAACUACUGGAAACGGUAGCUAAUACCGCAUAACGUCUUCGGACCAAAGUGGGGGACCUUCGGGCCUCACGCCAUCGGAUGUGCCCAGAUGGGAUUAGCUAGUAGGUGGGGUAAUGGCUCACCUAGGCGACGAUCCCUAGCUGGUCUGAGAGGAUGACCAGCCACACUGGAACUGAGACACGGUCCAGACUCCUACGGGAGGCAGCAGUGGGGAAUAUUGCACAAUGGGCGCAAGCCUGAUGCAGCCAUGCCGCGUGUGUGAAGAAGGCCUUCGGGUUGUAAAGCACUUUCAGCGAGGAGGAAGGCAUAAAGGUUAAUAACCUUUGUGAUUGACGUUACUCGCAGAAGAAGCACCGGCUAACUCCGUGCCA
rnacentral:rRNA from 1 species